rnacentral:lncRNA from 1 species
GACGGAGAAGAGUGUUGAGAGUCCUGGGGUGACAACACCUGGGUCCCCUUCUCAUCUGAGCCACCGACUCGCCAGGCAGCUAUUCCCAACCCCAGAACCUUUGCUGUCUUGGAACAGAUCACCACUGCAAGAGGGGAAGUUGCUACUGUGAUGAAUUCUGCCAUGUGGUACCAGACUGCUACCCAGACCACAGUGUCCUCUGCAACCCUCGUAACUCACAUACAGGCCUGAUUCCACCUACAGCAAAGCUGGAUGCUAUGGUUGGCAGAGGCAAACCCUUUGCCUGCACUUCAGGCCAAAGCCGGGAUGUGGCCUAGAUGGUUCCUAAGGUCCCUGACAAUCCUGAGAUCUUGCAUCUUGUCUAUUUCAGGUCAAAGGUGCCUACAUGUUCCUUCUAGCUUUGUUUCCCUGAUGUUCCUUGCCACCUGCUACUCCUCUCUGAGCUACUUUUCCAGGUUCCACAGGGAGAGGUUCAGCUGUCCGUGGUAGACAUGAGGGUAGAGAAUGAGGUGGUUGGGUUCCACUUACCUUUCUAUCAUCUUGCAGUAUGGAUGUCUCUUGACUGGUACCAUGUAGACUUUUGAGGGCACACAGGAGUCUGCAGAGAGAUACUGGGGACAUUGAGUAGCAGCGGUGGGGUUGGGAGGCAGAAAUGAGGACAGGAACAUUUACCUUGUGUUUCUCUCAGCUUCUCAGAUGACCAAGAUGGUGCUGCAGAUGGUGCUGAGGAUGGAGAACCCACCAAG